AAGGGGAGACCGGAGCCGCGAGCGCCACCAGGGCAGCAACCGCCGCAGCCGCCGCCGCUGGGCUGAGGAGUCGGAGACGCAGGCGGACGAGGUGGCGGCGGCGGCGGAGCGGGAGCGGGGACCGGGCGCGGGCAGAGCGCGGCGGCGCGGGUGUAUUCUAGAGAACAAUUCUUCAAACACCUUUGCCAUAUUGACUCUGAGCUGUCAGGGGACUCAGGCUUAUGAGGAGGUACUGUCACAGAAAACAGUGUCUAGUGAAGACGACAAGAAAGAGGGAAAAGGAUCGGAAGAAGAAGCUAAAAUACUGUAGAAAACCAUGAGAUCUAUUAGAUCUUUUGCCAAUGAUGAUCGCCAUGUUAUGGUGAAACAUUCAACAAUUUAUCCAUCUCCGGAGGAACUUGAAGCUGUUCAGAAUAUGGUGUCUACUGUUGAGUGUGCUCUUAAACAUGUCUCAGAUUGGCUGGAUGAAACAAAUAAAGGCACAAAAGCAGAGGGUGAGACAGAAGUGAAGAAGGAUGAGGCUGUAGACUCCUAUUCCAAGGAUCAAGGUGGUCGGACAUUAUGUGGUGUAAUGAGGAUUGGCCUGGUUGCAAAAGGCUUGCUGAUUAAAGAUGAUAUGGACUUGGAGCUGGUUUUAAUGUGCAAAGACAAACCCACAGAGACCCUGUUAAAUACAGUCAAAGAUAAUCUUCCUAUUCAGAUUCAGAAACUCACAGAAGAGAAAUACCAAGUGGAACAGUGUGUAGAUGAGGCAUCUAUUAUAAUUCGGAAUGCAAAAGAACCCACGCUAACUUUGAAGGUGAUACUUACUUCCCCUCUAAUUAGGGACGAAUUGGAGAAGAAGGACGGAGAAAAGGUUGCGAUGAAAGAUCCUCCGGACUUAUUGGACAGGCAGAAAUGCCUGAACGCCUUGGCGUCUCUUCGACAUGCCAAAUGGUUUCAGGCAAGGGCAAAUGGAUUAAAAUCAUGCGUAAUUGUCCUCCGAAUUCUGCGUGAUUUGUGCAACAGAGUCCCCACAUGGGCACCAUUAAAAGGAUGGCCACUAGAGCUUAUAUGUGAAAAGUCUAUAGGUACUUGUAAUAGACCUUUGGGCGCUGGGGAGGCCUUGAGACGAGUAAUGGAGUGUUUGGCAUCUGGAAUUCUACUUCCUGGGGGUCCUGGUCUUCAUGAUCCUUGUGAGAGGGACCCAACAGAUGCUCUGAGCUAUAUGACCAUCCAACAAAAAGAAGAUAUUACCCACAGUGCACAGCAUGCACUCAGACUAUCAGCCUUUGGCCAGAUUUAUAAAGUGCUGGAAAUGGACCCCCUUCCAUCUAGUAAGCCUUUUCAGAAAUAUUCCUGGUCAGUUACUGAUAAAGAAGGUGCUGGGUCUUCAGCUCUGAAGAGGCCAUUUGAAGAUGGAUUAGGGGAUGAUAAAGAUCCCAAUAAGAAGAUGAAACGAAACUUAAGGAAAAUUCUGGAUAGCAAAGCAAUAGACCUUAUGAAUGCACUAAUGAGGCUAAAUCAGAUCAGGCCUGGGCUUCAAUAUAAGCUCUUAUCUCAGUCUGGCCCUGUCCAUGCCCCAGUCUUCACAAUGUCUGUAGAUGUGGAUGGUACAACAUAUGAAGCCUCAGGACCAUCCAAGAAAACAGCAAAACUUCACGUAGCAGUGAAGGUACUGCAGGCAAUGGGAUACCCAACGGGCUUUGAUGCAGAUAUUGAAUGUAUGAGUUCCGAUGAAAAGUCAGAUAAUGAAGGCAAAAAUGAAACAGUGUCUUCAAACUCAAGCAAUAAUACUGGAAAUUCUACAACUGAAACCUCCAGUACCUUAGAGGUAAGAACUCAGGGCCCUAUCCUCACAGCAAGUGGCAAAAAUCCUGUAAUGGAGCUCAAUGAAAAAAGAAGAGGUCUUAAGUAUGAACUCAUCUCGGAGACUGGUGGAAGCCAUGACAAACGCUUUGUAAUGGAGGUAGAAGUAGAUGGACAGAAAUUCAGAGGUGCAGGUCCAAAUAAGAAAGUGGCAAAGGCAAGUGCAGCUUUAGCUGCCCUGGAGAAGCUGUUUUCUGGACCCAAUGCAGCAAAUAAUAAGAAAAAGAAGAUUAUCCCUCAGGCAAAGGGUGUUGUGAAUACAGCUGUGUCCGCAGCAGUCCAAGCUGUUCGGGGCAGAGGAAGAGGAACUCUAACAAGGGGAGCUUUUGUUGGGGCCACAGCUGCUCCUGGCUACAUAGCUCCAGGCUAUGGAACACCAUAUGGUUACAGCACAGCUGCCCCUGCCUAUGGUUAAUACUUUUAAGCAGUUUUCAGCACGUUUAUCUCACUUUAUUCUCGUUCUCCUUGGACCUUCGUAGCCAUAUCACUUGUAUAAAAUAGGCUGAGAUAUAGUGACUGUAAGCUGUGGUCUCAGUAUACAAAGGUAGAAAGCAAGUUACUGUAAACCACAGAAAAGAAAGAGGAGACCGGGUGGCAUGCUUAGAAGGCUGUUGACUCGGAUGCUUCUCUCUUCCAGUUUGCUGCAACACCUUGGGGAAAAAAAAUCUGUACUUAACACCACUCGAGGCCUCCCUCUUGCCUGUUAAUCUUAGAAAAAAACAUACCUGUCUAUCCAUCCCUCUCUCUCUGUCCAUCUACCCAUUUAUCUAUCUGGACACAGUUGGGAAGUUGCUUUUCAGCAGAAAGAAGAAUGAGUAGAUGGUUGGUCUGAAUAAAGGGUGAGCAUCUUCUGGUCCGUCUCUGGCUCGCAUGUGUCUACGUGGACCUCCGGAACCUCUGGAAAAAAGCGUGCAGCGGCAUCCCUCUCUGCUGGUAGAGGUGAGCUGAGUGGGGAAUACAGAUCGAGUCCUGUGAUGCUCUAAGGUCAUAAAAACUGUGUAGACAGGAUCAGUGUUACUUUUAAAGGCAAAUAAGGUAGAUUUGCAUUAUAGUCAAGAGGCUUUUCUUCAAUCCAGGAGAUAUUUGUGUCAGUGAUAUCCUGGCAGAAGUGACCCCAUUCCUCAGCUGUAGCCGUCUGGGUGGAAUCCUUGCCUCAGUAACGAACACUGAGGGAAGGCCUCGGGGGUUCUUUUGUUUUGCCUUGAUCAGUCAGUUGUUAACACCUUAACUACUUGGUCCUUCUAAGGAGGGUCUUAGGGUCUUUCUUGGCAGAACUCUGCUAUUUCUGCAAACAAACUAUGCUGUCUCUGCUGGUGGGUGGUGUGGAGAUUGCCACCAUCUGCCCAGGCAGUUUAAGAGUCAGAUUAGCAUAUCCUAGCUGGAGAUGUGGUCCUGAGUCAUCUUUUUGCUGCUUAUGGCCCCCAGGAGGUAACGGGAUUAGCCUGCUGCAGUGAGGGCAUUCUCUUUGCGCUGCCUAGAAGCCUAGUCUCUCUCUGCUUUGUUUCAGUUUCUACCUUGAUCCUUUUGUGUGGUUUGGAAGAACAGUCUCUGCACUCACAUGUCAGCUGAAUGUCCCAGGUAGUUAACAGUGGCCCUCAGUUUAGGUCAUUUUGGGCUGUGGGCAGCAGUGGAUGGAAGAAAGGAGAGCGGGAAGAAAGGUGCUAAAAUUGGUACCUUGUGUGUGCCAGGCACUUGGACAUUUUUCUUAUUUCUCAGCCUUCUUGAAGGUGGUAUUAUUCUUAUUUUACAGAUGAAAAAACUGAGGCUCAGAGUUAAGUGCUAGAGUCAGGAAUGAAAUCCAGCUCUGUUCAGUGCCAGAACCUUUUUCUGCUGUACCAUGCUAUGGAUUAAAAGUCUGGAAAGAAGGUGAGGAAGCACAUCGGGGGACAGGAAGGUGGUGUGUGGGCAGUGAGGCAAGGCCGAAUGGAGCUUAAAAAGGGCCUGAACACAAGCCAGGGGCCUCACUGUCACAGGAUCUUUGGAGCUCACCGACUCAAGCCAAUCCCAGGCUCUAGGCUUUGACUUGAGGUCAUUUUAGACCAGAUAUCCUGGCCUAAAAUAGGGCUGUUUUCUUUUAGAACAGUUGGAAAAGAUUAACAAACUGGAAAGAUAGACUGGAGGGCUGAGGUGUGGCUGUAUAAACAGAGGAAGCUUUUGUAUUUGAAGCUUGUUUUUCUGUUUGAAUAUCAAUGAGAAAUUGAGGUGUGCGUUUUCAUUUAGCUAAUGCUUUCUGAGUACACGAUAUCUGGCCUGAGAUUGGUGAUGGGGAUGUCGUAAAAGAUUUGAGCCAGACUCUGAAGGAGAGCUGGUGAGGCUGGGCUCAUUGGGUCAAAGGAAGAGGGGUGGUCCAGGGUUGGGGUGUGAGUGCAGAGAAGUGGCCCUGGGCAAGUGUUGAGCAGAGACGGGGGUGAGGGGCAGAUUGCAGUGGCCUGUUCUGCUUGCCAGGAGUGUCCCCUGGAUUCGGCUUCACGGAAGGCUGUGUGUGGUCCCCUCACCAGCUCCUCGGCAGAUUAGUGCUGGCUGGGUCUCUGCUUACGGUUAGGUGGGCGUGGAGGUGGAUGCAGAAUCCUCUUCAGGGAAAGAUAUUCUUCCCUAACCCCAAGUCACCACCAGCCUUGGCAGUUGCCGUUUUUCUGAGCCCCCUGCCAUAAUCCUGGAGCGGAACAGGAAGAAGGAACCUCUUGUAAAGCCAGGUUGUAGGAGUUCUUGAGCCGUGGCUUGCGGAGGGAAUGGCACCUGCGUGUGUAGCGUGCCAGCAGAGCUCUCUCCGGGCCGUGACUGUGUUCCCUGCCCUGAUGGUCCCACUCAGAGAAGCUGCAGCGCAGGGGUGGUUGUUCCCACUGCACAGACAAGAAAAGUGAAGCUAAGAGGCCUCUGCAAACCACCAGCUUAUUUGUGGUAAAGCACUGUGGCUCCUAAUAAGUGAGUUUUUAAUCACACAGAAGAAAUGGCAUUUCUUCUGUUUUUAGAGUUAACGGAAGCCCUUUCUUAGGGAUGAGAUUUGAGCUCCACCACAACUGUGGGAUCUAGAAAUUUUCUCCUUUUACAGAUGAGGAAAUAGAGGCUUAGACAAGAUGACUUGCCCAAAAUUACACAGCUAGUAAGUGGCCGAGCCCACCCAUUCUGCUGGCGCUGUGCUCACCACUGGUGGUUGGUGUCGAGAGUCUAGGCUGCUGCCCAUCCUGUUUUCUAAAACCGUUUGGCAAGUUUCCUCUCCUCGUUAGGAGGCGUUCAUUCUACCUACCGUUCUUCCAGACUUCUGGGAUGUGUCCUGUGUGGUUUGAGACAAAACACACGGAAAACCACCUCUCUCUCCCUGACCCCCCUCUUCUCCCCCUCCCACCGUGGGAAAAAAGAAACCAGCCUUCGGGCUCAUUCUUCUCCGGCUAACCUGGCUCCUGGGCAAGGUUACUGACUAGCCAGCCUUGGGCCAGGUGGCCUGUUUGUUGUUUUCUUUGCCAGCUGCACAGUUGGGUCUGUUUCCACAGACCAUCUUUUUGUGCUGUAACUGAACCCUGUAAUAAAUUGCAAACCAGUAAUUGCCAUCGGAGAGAUCCCCAGGCGUUGUAUGGAGGGAAGGGAUGUGCUGUUGGGAGUGUGCUUUUCCACUGAGCUUCAUCCACGUUUUGGUUGUCAGCUGUCAUGUUUCUGGCUAGGCCUUCCUUGUGUGCUCCAACCAAAGGGGUCGCCCUCACAGUCGCCUUCCCAGAGCGCUGGUGCCAGGGUCUCACUGGGCCCUUCCAUGACGUAGACAGUCUCAGAAGAUGCUCAGCUCUCUGACGUCCUUCAGGCCCUUGGAGGCUGCAUUAUGGGAGGUAUGGCGGCCAUCAUCCUGGAGGGGAUCACUCCUUCCACAUCAUCUGGAAGGUGGCACCUGAGGAACUCAGGAAAGCUGAAAGCACCUCAAGAUGGGAUAGGUUGAGGCUGCUGAAGGACAGACCUGGAGAGAUCAUGGACCUUUCCAUCAGCUGUUUUAAAGAGUUGUAUUUACUUGUCAUAUGUAGUUCCAGAAGGGGAAAGAUAGUUACAGUAAAGCCAGUUGGGCAGUUUGAGCUAAAGUGUGCCUCUCAUGAGGUGUGGUGAGAAGUGGGCCCCGUGUUACCAGGAGUGCUUAGGCAGGAGGCCCGCUGUUUGGAUACUGCAGAGGAAGGUCUUCCAUGGGGUGUCAGUUUGCACAGAAUGCUGAUGUGGCUGGUGACACUGUCAAGACCGCUUCUCCCCUCUUGGGCACAUGGAUUUAUUGGAAACAUUCACUGUCACCUCCUACUACUAACCAGGCUGUGCUGGGGGAGAAGGAGCACUUGAGGAAAACGUCAGGAUUUUCAGCUUAGAAGGUGAAACCCCUGACCAAGAAGGAGCACAGGAAGGGGGAGGGGACUGCUUGGGGCCUUGAACAGAACGAGAGCCAUCUUCUGUGCUUGGGAGAAGGGCUCCCACUCAGUCCAGGAGCGGAGCCAGGCCUGUGAAGAGACUUAAGAGCUGCGUGACUUAGAGAGUGAGAGGGGCUCCAGUAGAUGUGGCCAUGGCUUCCGCAGAGCCUGGCAUCCAGCUGGCUAGGAGGUCUCAAGGAGGGGCGCCUGGUGUGCACAGAAGGGCAUGGCUUCUCAGGACAGCGUGGAGGUGCUUGUUAAUGGGAACCUGGGAACUGGGAUGGUUAGGAGGGUGAAGUAGCAGACGGCAUGUGCAGUUGGGGGCCACUUCGUGAAAGGCCUUGGGUGCCAUGCCCUGCAGUGCUUACCAUCUUCCAGAAUGGUGAGAGAAUUCUGGAGGAUCCGUUUGGACAGGUGGAUGGGGAAGAACCAAAGGCAGGAGUCAGAGGCUGUUGCAGAUGCCCGGCUGAAGGAUGAAGGAGGCUGGCUGAGGGCGUCAGAGGCAGGAAUGGCAUCUUUUCAUAGUCCAGGCUCCUUGCCUGGGCCCAGCAGGAGGUUAUGGGGCCAGGGAACCACAGGAACCCCACAUGCAGCCAGGGAACUGGGGGCCACUGUUGAGUAGGUGCCUGGGACCAAGACAGGAAAGGCGGGUGGUGGUGGGGAGAGGCGUUGCAGUGUAGCAAGGGCCAUCUCCACUGGCCAGGAAGCGGGGAUUUGGUGGGCCUGACUUCUCGUGGGUGCGGGGGCUCUGAGUUCCCUUCUUGUGCUCUCUGGGAAGUGUCUCCUUUGGCAAAGGACAGAGAGGUUUAUGGGCUGGUCAGUCAGAAUCUUACCCUUUCCCUGAGUUUCUGCUCUGCUGAGUUUGCCAGUCAAAGGGAGUGGCAGGUACUGGAUGUUCGUUGGUACAGAGGCUUCUGCUUUUAAAAAAAGUAAUGUUUUGACUUCUUUACCUGGGCAAGGGUUGGAGUUCAUUGGAUUCAACAUUUGUAGAACAGGGGCUUUAGCCGGGGGAAGGUACACACUUGCUCUACAGAGUACUUUAGGGAAGGGAAAAAGGCGAAAUUGUAAGAUUACUAGAGAAUUUGCUUUGGGCCUCAGUUUUGUGUCUGUCCUGCCAUCUCUGGCUCGUUCUGCACAGGUGGGCAGGGAGACCUGAAGAGGAGUCGGGGUGGGUUUCUGCACUUCUGUGUUUCUAUACCUCUGCUGGGGACAGGGGCUAAAAAAGCAGUGGUGGUUUUGAGCCUUUAGGUCAGAGCUCUGAAAGGUUAGGGUUCACUGAGACACUGAUUGCAUCGACCUUUGGGGUGACCAGGUGUCUCUAACUACGAGUGGCCUUGUUUGUUUAGCCCAGUGGGCCACAGAAAAAUCACCUUUUUGCGUGUCACAGUGUGGAAAUCGAUGGGAACGCUGCCUUAGGCCUGGUGUCGACAAACUUUCUGGAAAGGUCCAGGGAGUAACUCUUUCAGGCUUGUGGCCCAUUCGCUCUGUCACAGCUACUCAGCCCUGCCGUUCCAGCAGCACCCGCGCAGCCAGAGGCAGAGUGUAGACAGACAGGCGUGGCUGCAGGCCACACUUCACCCAAUCCCUGCCUUGGACUGUGGCGGUUACUCACCCUCUGGCUUAAUCAUGACUGGAAGCUUUCUCCCGUCUGCUGCCUGGACCCAUCUAUCUUCCCAUGAAGGCUUCCUGCGCAUCUGUUAGGUGUGCAGCUCUUGCGCAGAAGGACCUCAGAUUUUGAGUGAGAGGUGGGCCCUUUCGGGGGAGCGGGUGCUGCAGAGCGAAAUACAGAAAGGGGCUCGGGGAGAGAAGGCCGAGGGUGAACCCGGAGAGUCUGAGGAAGGAGGGAGGCAGCUCCGGAGAGGAGGACGCUGGGGGCCAGCCUGUGAAUAAAGGGCGCUGGGGAGCCAAUGGGAGGCUGUGCUCAGGAAGGGGAAGUGAUCACAGAUGCACUUUGGAAAGAUCCUCUGGUUGGGGAAGACCACGUUUGUGGUUACAAAUAGUAGCUUUCAGUUUAGUUGGACUCUUUCGCCCAGAGUCUGGUUACUGUUGGUACCCGAGUGGGAAGGCGAGACUCCCGAGUUGGGUAGCUUUUCUGGCCGCCGGCUGUAGGGGGCCAGUGAGUGGCACAGUUUUUGACACAGCAGAGCUUGACACGGUCUGCCGCCUUCGGGCUUCUUCUCUGUCACUAUCCAGAGAUAGCUUAAACGGCAAGACAAAUGAAACGCUCUGUCUCAUGUCUAAUUUUGGAUUGGGGCCUUGGUGUAUGAGGGUGAACAAAUGCUAGGGAUGGGCUUCCCCUCGCUUCAGAACGGAGCUACCCUGGCACGAAAGCCUAAUGGAGCUGGUGCCUGUAAACCGAGGCAAGAUGCACAGGCCGGGGCAGGUGCUGCUCAGGGGCAUCCCAGACGCUCUAGGCCAGGACUGAUGUCGGGCUGGGAGACUGCAGAUCGGACACGGCGCCUGCCCCAAGGUGCUCCACGUAGUUGGGGCAAGGAGAAAACUCUUACAUAGUGCUUCCUACUCUCCACAGUGUUUUCCCUCAGAGAUGUGUCUAGGCAGGUGAAGGGAACUGCUGUUGACUGAGCACCGUGAGGUGAGGUUCCAGGGGCGCGAGCUGCCAGCGUCCUCCCCUUGACGUGGACAGAAGUCUGGAGGGGUGCUGGCCUCACGAGCCCACGGAGAGGCCUGCGCAGAUGCUGGUUCCCUGAAACCCGCACGGGCCUGUAGGAGUGGGUGAGGACCACGCGCAGCUCAGCGGAGGGAAGGCGCUGGCCCGAGGCCCCGCAGCGGGGACCUGGCGGUGCUGGCUCCAGUGGGGCCCUCCCAGCACGGCUCCAGCAGCGCCGCACCGUGGACCGGUUUUGUGUGGUUGUGGAUCCUCUGGGGACUGAGCCAGCAGGUGAGGGGUUUGGUGCUGCCCUGAGCCGCUGGGCAGACGUGGGCAGGGCCUCAGGCAGGUGGGUGGUGGGCUGCCUGAGGGCACUGCUGCUGCCUGCUCUGAGUGAGGGCACAGCUCGUCAUCGUCCAGGUCAGAUGAGGGUUGUGGAAGGAAGAGUCGCGGAGAAGCCAUGGCUCCAGGGCACGCGGGCUGCUGCCGCGGGGCUCCUCAGGCUCCGGGGGGCGGUGCUCUCAGCAUGGCAGCGGGUGCAUAACUUCCCAUCUCUAAGGAGCACGGCCUGGGUCUUCCAGAGGUGUUUCUGGGGUCCUGGAAUGGCAAGGAUAGAAGCAAGCCUGGCCCAGCCAGAUGUGCCUCCAGCUGUGGUCUUUCAUCGGGCAGCUCAGCCUGCGCUGCGGCUCUGGCCUCACGGGGAGGCUUGUGUCUGGAGCACCCUAGACCCUCGUGGAGCUCGAGCCUGGCCCCUGCCCCAUCCUGGCCCACAGCCAUAAGCUAGAUGCCACUGUCUCAUUUUCCUGCUUGGGGAAAUAGAUGAUGGUCUAAGAGUUCUUUUUUUGAUUCUCACCUAAAUAUUUCUGCUGUUCUGGGAAGACUUUUUAAAAUUUUUGUUCAUGAAGAUGAUGAAUCAUGGAUAAGGAUAGGAGUUUAGAUAGCUAAGAAGACUGUCUUCUCCACUUGUAGCUCAUAAUCAAGAAAGCUGCACCUUCAGUGUCCAGCCUCUUGCCCCACCCGCUUCCGGCCGGCGUGAGCUCCUCUCCUCACAGACACCCUCGGGCUUAAGUUGUGGUUAAGCUUACCCUCCUUUCCUUCCUUGACGUGUUCCUGUCGCUCUGUGGGCCUCCUCGACGACUCUUCCCCUCACUGGCUCCCUCGGCUGCGGCCCUGACACCCAGCUUGUGAUGAUGGCCCACGUGAGGCAUGGUGUGGAGUUUAGUCAGGUUCCUGAAAUACCUCUUCUCUCACCUGCCAGGCUGGCAGUGCUGGCGUUUGAUGCGUCCCUUUCCCUGCCCAUGGCGGUGUCUCCUGCUCAGGCCAGCCCUGUGCGGUCAUGUGGGGUUCACACUGCACCCCUACUUUGCAGAGGGAACACUGAGUACCGCUUGUCCCCUCGUUCACUUACUGUGGUGGCUUCUCAGACAACAGGCAUCCUCAAGGUUCCUGACCAGGGGCCUUACUUUCCGCAUCUCCCGGGAAUCAAGGGCAGCUCUGCGUGUCUUGUGAGCUGUUGCCAACCUCCACACGGACUUCCUUUCCCAGGGGCUUGAGGCGGCAAAGGGAAUGCUUGGUCAAGGUGGGACUCCUCCUCUGCCUCUGUCCCUCUUGAUGUCUUCUAAUGAGUCAUGAGCCACCUGCCUUGGGCAGACUUCAUUUACUUCAGCUCUUAGCAGUGUUGAUCCUCUUUUCCCCAGAGUAUCUGUCAACUCAGGCCUCUGACUAGGGACCAUCUGGCCUGUUGUGCUGAACCUCUGGUCUAAGUGGCUGGCUGGGGCCCAGUCACACCUUCAGGAAAAGGCAGGUCUCCCGCGGGAGCCCUAAUCGGGGCCAGGGCACUUCCAGGGACAGUGAGGCAGGAGGGCCAGGGAAGGGUCUGGCCUGGGGCCUGGCUCUGCCUGUUAAGCCCCACAGCGCGGGCACCCAGGUCUCCCUGCCGUGUAGGGUUCCCGGAGAGCGGCCUCUGAGACUCGCCUCUCACCCAUUCCGAGCAGAACUCACUGUCUGGGGAGGAGACAGGAGGCAGCCAGUCUAGACCUGAAGCCCUGAGCUGUUCAAGAAGGGGCUUCCCUCACAAAGGAGGAAGGGGUCCUGCUCAGUCGUAGCCCUUCCUUGGCCCCAAGAUGGGGGGGUUCAGGAGGCAAGGAGAAGGCUGCGUGUAGUUGUGGGUAGAAAACCUUUCCCGGUUUACUGCACAGUUACACACAUGACAUCGGACUCCUGGCUAUAUAACAGCUUGCUCUCUCUCUGGUCUGGUGAUGGCCAAGGUAGUUUUUAAGAAAUUUAUUUAAAAUACCUAUCUGUAUCUGUUUACUGUGUUUUUUCUGAAUACACAAGUGUACAUAUAGUAUAAUUACAGUGCAGAGUCCCUGGCAAUAACUUCAUGUUGCGUAUUGUGUUAAAAAAAAACAUUGGAGAAUGCGACCACCCUGGACUGUCCUCCCUCUCUGGGGCAGUGAUUACACGUAGGACUCUGAACUUUGAACCUGCGGCGUGGUUGAAGCAGCAGCCUGCACGUGUGGACUGUCACCAGUGCCUCGCCCAGAGACGCCUGGCCUUCACCCAAAGGGACUCUGCACCCCGACUCCCACAGGUGGCACCCACGCUGCGGCUCCUGCGCACUGUGUUGGACUCUGCCGUAGACUGACCCUCUUGUCUGGCUGCCGCAGCUUGUCUGUAAUGCCCUGACAUGUUGCAUUUUCCCCAUUCAGAUGAAUAAAAAUAAAAGCUUCUGUCUUCAACA